rnacentral:tRNA from 1 species
GCACGGGUUGCCGAGUGGUCAAAGGUGCCAGGCUAAGGACCUGGUCUCGUAGGAGUUCGAGGGUUCAAAUCCCUUCCCGUGCA